GACGAACGCUGGCGGCGUGCUUAACACUGCAAAUUCGUAGGGAAGGGCCCUUUGGGGGUAACCGGAUGGGGGACGGGUGGGGUACCCGUGGGUUAACCUCCCCCAACCUUGGGGUAAAGGCAGGGAACCUGUGCCUAUUCCGGAUAUGUUGUCCCUCCGGCUGGGGGGGGGUUGGAAGGCCCGGCGGUUGUGGAUGGACUCGCGGCCUAUCAGCUUGUUGGUGGGGUAGUGGCCUACCAAGGCGGCGACGGGUAGCCGGCCUGAGAGGGUGACCGGCCACAUUGGGACUGAGAUACGGCCCAGACUCCUACGGGAGGCAGCAGUGGGGAAUAUUGCACAAUGGGCGCAAGCCUGAUGCAGCAACGCCGCGUGCGGGAUGACGGCCUUCGGGUUGUAAACCGCUUUCAGCAGGGACGAAGCUUUUUGUGACGGUACCUGCAGAAGAAGCACCGGCUAACUACGU
rnacentral:rRNA from 1 species